GGGUCCGUGGUCUAGUCUGGUUAUGACAUUGCCCUUACAAGGCGAAGAUCGGGUGUUCAAAUCACCCCGGACCCA
rnacentral:tRNA from 1 species